GAUGAACGCUGGCGGCGUGCCUAAUACAUGCAAGUCGAGCGAACGGACGAGAAGCUUGCUUCUCUGAUGUUAGCGGCGGACGGGUGAGUAACACGUGGAUAACCUACCUAUAAGACUGGGAUAACUUCGGGAAACCGGAGCUAAUACCGGAUGAUAUUUUGAACCGCAUGGUUCAAAAGUGAAAGACGGUCUUUCUGUCACUUAUAGAUGGAUCCGCGCUGCAUUAGCUAGUUGGUAAGGUAACGGCUUACCAAGGCAACGAUGCAUAGCCGACCUGAGAGGGUGAUCGGCCACACUGGAACUGAGACACGGUCCAGAGUCCUACGGGAGGCAGCAGUAGGGAAUCUUCCGCAAUGGGCGAAAGCCUGACGGAGCAACGCCGCGUGAGUGAUGAAGGUCUUCGGAUCGUAAAACUCUGUUAUUAGGGAAGAAAAUAUGUGUAAGUAACUGUGCACAUCUUGACGGUACCUAAUCAGAAAGCAACGGCUAACUACGUG
rnacentral:rRNA from 1 species